rnacentral:rRNA from 1 species
UUGAAAGGGAAACGAUUGAAGUCAGUCGUACCAGCGGGAAAUCAACCUUUCGAGUGGGGGUUUUGGAGUUUUGAAGAGUGUCAAAACCUUUAUUUCAAAAUAUUCGCUCUUUUGGUGUACUUUCUCGUGGGUAGGUUAACAUCGAUUUUGAUCAUCAUAAAAAGAUUGGAGGAAUGUAGCUUCGAUCUUGUAUUGAAGUGUUAUAGCCUUUGGUAAAUGUGAUGAUUAGGAUCGAGGAUUGCAACGAAUACCCUUUUGGGCUAUCCGCCUGAUCUCUGAUACGUGGCCUUGGUAUCGAAAGCGUGCUUAUGGUAUUGAGGUAUUACGGUCAAAAGGUUAGAACGGAUUACAUUCGUUAAGGAUGUUGACGUA